rnacentral:sRNA from 1 species
GCUGUGGUUCAAAAUAUGCCUAGAUUUCAGAAUAUCGCUGCGUAUCCGUACGAAGUGAUGUGAGUGCACGCACAGGAACAUGGACUGAAUACGCCAAAACUGGCUGAAGACAAGAAAUAAAUAAAUUAAAAUCAAAUAUUAUUCCUGUGUUACCUGCAUGGCUACCGAGAUAUUGGGGCGUGGAAUGGUGGCUGGCUGGCUGGCUAACUGGCUGCUUGUAGAUUGAGGAUGGGAUGAACCCUUUCAAACACCCCGUACCGCCCACUGGCUUGUCCCUACGUCCUGGCAAAACUCCACAUUAUGGGAAGGGGAAAGAAUCUAUGCAAGAUGUGUUGGGUGAACAGCGGUGUAUACGUCGAAGCAUUGAAGAAUGUUGUCAGCAUCGUCGUGCAUAAAGUUACGGAACGAGCCUUUCCUCCCAUUUUUCCCAUUUCUUUUCUUUUUUUUGAACUCG